rnacentral:rRNA from 1 species
UACGAAGGGGGCUAGCGUUGCUCGGAAUCACUGGGCGUAAAGGGUGCGUAGGCGGGUCUUUAAGUCAGGGGUGAAAUCCUGGAGCUCAACUCCAGAACUGCCUUUGAUACUGAGGAUCUUGAGUUCGGGAGAGGUGAGUGGAACUGCGAGUGUAGAGGUGAAAUUCGUAGAUAUUCGCAAGAACACCAGUGGCGAAGGCGGCUCACUGGCCCGAUACUGACGCUGAGGCACGAAAGCGUGGGGAGCGAUCCGG